rnacentral:rRNA from 1 species
ACCAGACUCCUACGGGAGGCAGCAGUGAGGAAUAUUGGUCAAUGGUCGGGAGACUGAACCAGCCAAGCCGCGUGAGGGAGGAAGGUACAGAGUAUCGUAAACCUCUUUUGUCAGGGAACAAAGACUGGGACGCGUCCCCGGAUGAGUGUACCUGAAGAAAAAGCAUCGGCUAACUCCGUGCCAGCAGCCGCGGUAAUACGGAGGAUGCGAGCGUUAUCCGGAUUUAUUGGGUUUAAAGGGUGCGCAGGCGGUCUGUUAAGUCAGCGGUAAAAUUUCGGGGCUCAACCCCGUCGUGCCGUUGAAACUGGCGUUCCUGAGUGAGCGAGAAGUAUGCGGAAUGCGUGGUGUAGCGGUGAAAUGCAUAGAUAUCACGCAGAACUCCGAUUGCGAAGGCAGCAUACCGGCGCUCAACUGACGCUCAUGCACGAAAGCGUGGGUAUCGAACAGGAUUAGAUACCCGUGUAAUC